rnacentral:rRNA from 1 species
GACGAACGCUGGCGGCGUGCCUAAUACAUGCAAGUAGAACGCUGAAGAGAGGAGCUUGCUCUUCUUGGAUGAGUUGCGAACGGGUGAGUAACGCGUAGGUAACCUGCCUUGUAGCGGGGGAUAACUAUUGGAAACGAUAGCUAAUACCGCAUAACAAUGGAUGACCCAUGUCAUUUAUUUGAAAGGGGCAAAUGCUCCACUACAAGAUGGACCUGCGUUGUAUUAGCUAGUAGGUGAGGUAACGGCUCACCUAGGCGACGAUACAUAGCCGACCUGAGAGGAUGAUUGGCCGCACUGAGACCGAGACACGGCUCAGACUUCUACGGGAGGAAGCAGUAGGGAACCUUCAGCAAGGGGGGCAAGCCUGACCGAGCAACGCUGCGUGAGUGAAGAAGGUUUUCGGAUUGUAAAGCUCUGUUGUAUGUAAAGAACGAGUGUGAGAGUGGAAAGUUCACCCUGUGACGGUAGCUUACCAGAAAGGGACGGCUAACUACGUG